UUGGAAAGAAAGACGUUGAACGGUUGAACAACCAGACAGUUAAAGAGUUAGAAGCGAGCAUCUUUUACAUGGCGGCGUUUCAUUAUUUCGAAAGAAGUGAUAUGGCUUUGCCUGGCGUUGCUAAAUUCUUCCAUAAAAUGUCCUCUGAAGAGAAAGGUCACGCCGAUAAACUGAUGACCUACAUGAACAUGAGGCAAUCUCCACCUAAAACCCCAUCUGUUACGACUUGCGAAGAUUUAAAAACUAGCCUUAAGUCAGUAAGUAUUUAAAC